AUAUGUCUGGAUAAGUAGGACACAUGCAGAAGCUGGUGCUUGAUGUUUCUGGGCAAAGGUGUUGAUUAUUUGAGAGUGUCAAUCACUAAGUCUUUUUCGCUGGUUACCAUUUGCUUGGUUUCUCUGAUGUUUUAUUUUCCCUGUAUCUGCCUUGUAGUUUUCAGGGUUUUUUUUUUCCUCUGAUAUUCCUGUUUAGGGGUAGGAUUUUUCUUGUUUUUCCAGCUUGUGCAUUUUUAAACUAUGAAGUCUGAGCAAGGGAUGUCUUUUGUGUAUACAUAGUUUUUCCUGCACCCUCUUGUCUAACAGUGAAAGAUACAUUUCAGCUGUGUGAUUUUGCUCUCACAAAGCUUCUUAGACAUAACAAUUACCUUUUGGUAUUUUAUGGUUCCUACUUUGUCUUUCAUUGGCAUUGCUGCUCUGAUCUCUAUGGCUCCGCCAUACCUUCUUACUCUAUAUUAAAAGAAGCUUUCCGUGAGAUGUUUUCCAAAUUAAGAGUAGCAUGAAUCCUGAAAGAUAUUCUCUGCAUUUUACUAUUCCUGCACUUUCUGCUUUGAUAAUUAAGUGUUCCAUAUCUAGUUUUUAUCUCGUUGCCUGUGUUCUGGUCAAGAAAUCAGUCUUUUAAAUAAACCAUUUCCAAAGAGGUUAUGUAAUGUAGCUUUCAAAGGAAGCUUGCUACUUUUGUAUCUUCACCAUCAUUAUUUAUUCUAUUCAGUGAGGAAUUAUUGCAUGAGUGUCUUCCAUAGCUGGAUUUGUUUUGGUCACACAAGAGUCAUCAAUCUCUAUGUCCUCUCAAGUUAUAGCUGCCUUCAAAUCAUAUUCAUAUUCAUCAAUAUCUACCUCAUAUCAUUGUCCUUUCCAUGUAUUAACUUUAAUAGGUACCAAAAUCUUCAACUUUCCCAUCUUUCAAAGCCAUAAUUGUUUUGAGUGCUCCCAUCCAUGGCAAUAACUGUGUGAUGAUGAAAAUGUCCAACAUUUUCCUAUCUACUUCAUGCUAUAUUUUCUAUAUUUGCUAUAUUCUGCAUGCUAUAUUUUCUACCAUAGGUAAUAUUAUUAGAGAAUAUGACUAUCACAUGGCUUUCCUAACCACAGCUUUUUGGUGCAUUGAAGAAGUUCUUCAUAUUAACUUAUUACUGAAAAUGAGUAAUCAUAAGAGAUACAAUCCAGUUCUAAGUCUUGUAUAAUCAUUAUGGACUUUGGUUUCAAAAAGAAUAUCUAGUAUGACUUAUUCACUCAUAAGGGUUUUUAAAGUCAUGAUAUAAUUUUUCCAUGCCUAUGUAUUUCUAAUUCAUAACUACUUUAGCAAUAAAUUGAAUUCUUUGCAGUCAUGUCCUCCCUGAUGCUGGAAUAAGUCAUACAUCACUAUGUGUUUCCCUUGAUAUAGAUGCUGUUGACAAGAAAGUGAUGCUCAACUUCUAUGUCCUCUCAUUUGGUUCAGGGUCAUAGCUGUGAAAUACCUUCCAAAUCCAUUUCAUCAUGAGCUAAAGUUGCUUGGUAAAGCAAGAAAUUUUCCAUUACCAUAUCUUCCCAUUCCAUAUCCACCCUGCUUAAGGAAAUUCUCCAGCUUCUCUCCUCCCAUAGGCUCAACAAAGUUGUUCAGAAAAAAAAUGUUUCCACCUCUGGUCAAGAAAUAAGUUCUUCAUCUUCAUGCUUUUCAGGCACAUAUGCUUUGAUAACAUAAGGAACCAUUCCUAGCUCAUGGCUUUCAAAGUCUCUCUGUUCUGCUUAUGAACUUGACCUUUAAACAUUUUAUGUUAUGGCUCCUUCCAGAAAAAAAAGUAUAUCUUUUUGUUUCCCCCAACAAUAGCUAUCUUUGUCACAGAAUUAUUUUUCCACUAUCAUGGCUUCUCAUCUCAAGUCAUGGCAGUUUUGAUCAUGGGAACAGACUUUCUACAGCACAUUCCUUGCUGUUUAGGAUUUAUGAAGUUUUCUAACUCCAGACCUGUCGAGCCAUAUCUAUUUUUGUCAGAUUCUAGGUUUGGUUUCCUUGGGUUCUUCAUCCAUUACCUACGUUUUCAAGUGUGCUGAAAUCUAGGACUUCUGCUCUAAUUGUUGUCGAUGUGAAUGUCGAUGUGAACUGUUGUUUCAGUGGCCACACAGGAAAUUUCCUCUUUCCUUUCUGGCCAUUUCUGCUCUGAGCACUGAAGAUUUUGUUCUGGUUAUAAAUCUUAUAUGAGAAUAGCACCUAUUUUUGUGUUUGUAUUGAGAUAAUGUCUCCUCAGCCAGGAAGACCUGAACUCACUAUAUACUCCUACAGUGCUAGUUAACAGGGUUUUGAUAUGUGUAUCUUACCUUUAAAACAUCCACAUAUUAUUAAUAGAUGUAUUAUCUCACAGCCUUAUUAUUUAUAACAAAAGCAGCUAAAAUCUAGUUAUUUAAAAAAACUAAAUGCAAUAUGGUCUUAUUAACUAUAGUAGUCAUAUUGCCAUACAUUAAGUCUCUACACUUACUCCUGGUACACACCUGCUACUUCAGGAUUUCCUUAGAACAGUUCUCUCAACCUCAGCACAAUGAAGGUUCUUUUGCAAAAAAAAUGUAUGAUUCCAUCCUCCCAUAUUUCUAGCUUCACCCAUGUCUUUGACAGUAUGUAGAGAAACAUAUAAAGGAUAUAUUCAUCAGUACAAAGUAGUAGAUGAGCCCAGUUCUCUUCUGUACAGUUUGGUAUUUCUAUCUAUGUCUAUUUGUAUGUAUGUAUAUGUUUCAUUUUCAUGCUGUGUAUUUUGGCACUUUACUCUGUAUCCUGACUGCAUCCAACCUAAGAAGGAGACUACAAGUGUAGCACAGGGAACAUACUAUAGUCAUGAUAUGACAAUGACCAAUUCAGCUUCUUCUCUAAAAAGUGAAUCUCAGAUGCAAACAUGGAAACCUAAAAUGUUAGGAAUUCACUAGAAGACAAUGAGGCUUUCUAUGGCAAAGCCAAUGUCUGCCUAGGACAGAUGAUCUGGAGACAUAUGUCUGUCUCAGUUCAACCCCUUCAUCAGACUAAACAUAGCAAGAAAAUUCAGACUUACACCUUAAGUCACCCGUGGGUGAAGUAUUCUUUCCAUAAGAAUACCAUGAAUGCUGGCCUUGGUGGUAUACUCCCAUAAUCCUACAACUAAAAAGAGCAAGGCAGUAGGAUUACAGCCCAGCCUGGGUUGCACGAUAAGAACUUGUCUAAAAAAUAUGACUAAUAUGCAUUACUUUUACUUAUAUUUGCUGUUUUUUCUUUGGAAUAUCCCUGGAUCUCUGAACCCCAUUUGACUCAACAUCAUGUCUUUAACUCAACUGAGCAACACCUUUGCACAUUUGUAUCUGGAUUUUCAUCAGGCUUGGUUUUUGGUGUUCACUAUAUAGACCUCCAUGCUGUAAUUACAGAUGUUUCUAAGCAGAACUGUCACCUGUUAGCUCUGUCAAGAGGAGCAACCAGUCAUCAUGCCACCUCAACUUACCUAAAAACUGACCACAAACCAAAGUUCCAAGAUGACCUGGACAUCAAGAAUCACCUCUUCAUAUUUCUGUAAAUGCUAGUUUGGCUGUACUUGUAAUCCAUACUACUUGAGAGGCUGAGGUCUCAAAUCAAAUCCAACAAAACAUCAGAACAGAAAUCCACAGACUUUCUAGUGAACUUGCUGAGGCAAAAAGAUUUUAUUGUUAACUGUCAAGGGAUAAUGCCGUUAAUAUUUUAUACUGAUGCUAUUUUAUUAUUUAAGCCACAAAAACACUCAUUCUGAACACCACACAUUCUUGACUGAUCUUUUGGAAUGGGUGAGGUACUUGUAUGCAUAUACAUGAUUAGGUAGUAUUUAUGGCAUUUUAGACUGAUACUCUUGUUUUAGUAUAAUGAUGGUGUAUUGCAUAACUUUUUCACUUUUCAUUAAGUUAUGUAGGAUUGGUAGAUUGGAAUUUAUAGGUAAGAUGGAUUAGAAGCUGCAUCUGAGCCAGUGAAUAAAAAGGGUGUAGAUAAAAACAUAAUAAAUCCUAUUUAUAUAUAAGAAAGACUAAGAAAAAUAAAGAAAAAUAAGGCAAAGUCUGCAUUUCUUAAUGACUCAGAUCCCCAAGAAAUGAGUUGUGGUAUUAUUCCUGCUGACUGGCAUCAUUUGUAGCUGCCAGCAGUACGUUCUCACAAGUGACACCAUGAGAGCCCAAGACAGAGGUCUGGACUGUGUAAAUACAACUGGAUGGAGAAUCUAUAUACACAGAACAGGUUGGAGCAUUGUGGGUGCUAGAGUAAGUGGGAGAAAUGUGAUUUGAAAACAUGAUGUUGAAGAUCAGUACAUAAUAAUAAAGGAAAUACUGCCCUGCUCAA